rnacentral:misc_RNA from 1 species
GCAAACUUGGUCAUUUAGAGGAAGUAAAAGUCGUAACAAGGUUUCCGUAGGUGAACCUGCGGAAGGAUCAUUACCGAGUGUUGAUUGCGAUUAGCAAUCGCCUCCCACCCCUGAUUACUAUCCUGUUGCUUCGGCGAGACGUCUUUUUCUGUUCUGAGAAAAGCCGUCGACUACAAAAAAUUAUAUGUUCAAUUAGAAUGUAUAAUAGUGGGCGUGAGCUCGCCGAAGGUUUUCCAACUCUUAAAUCAUUGUUUUUUGUCUGAAACAAAAAAAGAAAUUGAAUAAAAACUUUCAACAACGGAUCUCUAGGUUUCGGCAUCGAUGAAGAACGCAGC